UUUUUUUUUUUUUUUUUUUUUUUUUUUUUUUUGUUUUUUUUUUUUUUUUUUUUUUUUUUUUUUUUUUUUUUUUUUUUUUUUUUUUUGUUUUUUUUUUUUUUUUUUUUUUUUGUUUUUUUUUUUUUUUUUUUUUUUUUUUUUUUUUUUUUUUUAAUUUUUUUUUUUUUUUUUUUUUUUUUUUUGUUUUUUUUU